AGGGUUGUGGCUCAGUGGUAGAGCACUUGCCUGGCAUGUGUGAGGCCCUGGGUUCGAUCCUUAGCACCACAU
rnacentral:tRNA from 1 species